CCGUUCGUUCGUUCCAAGCAUCAUAAAUUUUUUUGUAUCCUACCAUAAUCUGAUGCAUGAUAUAUGUAUCCCCUUUGGAAUUUUCAGCCUAAGUACAACAUCACCAAAGUUGUACAAUGAAUCGGUUUCAUCCAGCCAGGUUGGUUUCUGUCACGACACUCCAUUCCUUGUCUUCUCAUUUCGUUUUCUCAUGCGUUUUGGGUCCUACUGCCUGAUUUCCUCACCGUUUAGGACAACGGGAUUCGGUGAGCACAUUUCUCCAGCGUUUUUCACGAAGGAAAUGGCCCCCACAGAACCACC
rnacentral:lncRNA from 1 species